UCGCUGAUGGUUCAGUGGUAGAAUUCUCAUCUUCCAUGUGGGAGACCCGGGUUCAAGACCCAGGUUCAAUUCCUGGCCAAUGCA
rnacentral:tRNA from 1 species